UCAGGACGAACGCUGGCGGCGUGCCUAAUACAUGCAAGUCGAGCGGACAGAAGGGAGCUUGCUCCCGGAUGUUAGCGGCGGACGGGUGAGUAACACGUGGGUAACCUGCCUGUAAGACUGGGAUAACUCCGGGAAACCGGAGCUAAUACCGGAUAGUUCCUUGAACCGCAUGGUUCAAGGAUGAAAGACGGUUUCGGCUGUCACUUACAGAUGGACCCGCGGCGCAUUAGCUAGUUGGUGGGGUAAUGGCUCACCAAGGCGACGAUGCGUAGCCGACCUGAGAGGGUGAUCGGCCACACUGGGACUGAGACACGGCCCAGACUCCUACGGGAGGCAGCAGUAGGGAAUCUUCCGCAAUGGACGAAAGUCUGACGGAGCAACGCCGCGUGAGUGAUGAAGGUUUUCGGAUCGUAAAGCUCUGUUGUUAGGGAAGAACAAGUGCGAGAGUAACUGCUCGCACCUUGACGGUACCUAACCAGAAAGCCACGGCUAACUACGUGCCAGCAGCCGCGGUAAUACGUAGGUGGCAAGCGUUGUCCGGAAUUAUUGGGCGUAAAGGGCUCGCAGGCGGUUUCUUAAGUCUGAUGUGAAAGCCCCCGGCUCAACCGGGGAGGGUCAUUGGAAACUGGGAAACUUGAGUGCAGAAGAGGAGAGUGGAAUUCCACGUGUAGCGGUGAAAUGCGUAGAGAUGUGGAGGAACACCAGUGGCGAAGGCGACUCUCUGGUCUGUAACUGACGCUGAGGAGCGAAAGCGUGGGGAGCGAACAGGAUUAGAUACCCUGGUAGUCCACGCCGUAAACGAUGAGUGCUAAGUGUUAGGGGGUUUCCGCCCCUUAGUGCUGCAGCUAACGCAUUAAGCACUCCGCCUGGGGAGUACGGUCGCAAGACUGAAACUCAAAGGAAUUGACGGGGGCCCGCACAAGCGGUGGAGCAUGUGGUUUAAUUCGAAGCAACGCGAAGAACCUUACCAGGUCUUGACAUCCUCUGACAACCCUAGAGAUAGGGCUUUCCCUUCGGGGACAGAGUGACAGGUGGUGCAUGGUUGUCGUCAGCUCGUGUCGUGAGAUGUUGGGUUAAGUCCCGCAACGAGCGCAACCCUUGAUCUUAGUUGCCAGCAUUUAGUUGGGCACUCUAAGGUGACUGCCGGUGACAAACCGGAGGAAGGUGGGGAUGACGUCAAAUCAUCAUGCCCCUUAUGACCUGGGCUACACACGUGCUACAAUGGACAGAACAAAGGGCUGCGAGACCGCAAGGUUUAGCCAAUCCCAUAAAUCUGUUCUCAGUUCGGAUCGCAGUCUGCAACUCGACUGCGUGAAGCUGGAAUCGCUAGUAAUCGCGGAUCAGCAUGCCGCGGGUGAAUACGUUCCCGGGCCUUGUACACACCGCCCGUCACACCACGAGAGUUUGCAACACCCGAAGUCCGGUGAGGUAACCUUUAUGGAGCCAGCCGCCGAAGGUGGGGCAGAUGAUUGGGGGUGAAGC
rnacentral:rRNA from 1 species